rnacentral:rRNA from 1 species
GAUGAACGCUGGCGGCGUGCUUAACACAUGCAAGUCGAACGGAAAGGCCCAAGCUUGCUUGGGUACUCGAGUGGCGAACGGGUGAGUAACACGUGGGUGAUCUGCCCUGCACUUCGGGAUAAGCCUGGGAAACUGGGUCUAAUACCGGAUAGGACCACUUCUUGGAUGUUGUGGUGGAAAGUUUUUUCGUUGUGGGAUGAGCUCGCGGCCUAUCAGCUUGUUGGUGGGGUAAUGGCCUACCAAGGCGUCGACGGGUAGCCGGCCUGAGAGGGUGUACGGCCACAUUGGGACUGAGAUACGGCCCAGACUCCUACGGGAGGCAGCAGUGGGGAAGAUUGCACAAUGGGCGCAAGCCUGAUGCAGCGACGCCGCGGGGGGGAUGACGGCCUUCGGGUUGUAAACUCCUUUCGCUAGGGACGAAGCGUUUUGUGACGGUACCUGGAGAAGAAGCACCGGCUAACUACGUG